UGUUCUAUAUGUGUCAGGGAAAUGGCACAUAGUUACUCAAGAGAUAUUAAAAUAAGACAAGAGAGAUGACUGGAGACAUCUGAUUGUCAACGUCACAGAGCCAGCCCACAUCAUCUUCAAUCCAUUGGUGAAGACAUACAAGGCUAUAAUGAGGGAGUGUGGCAGAUCAUCAGCAAGAGCAAUGCCAGAGAUGUGGGCAGUAGAAGGUUGGCAUUUUCCAGGAGUGAUGGUUCUCCCAGUGAGGGAAUGAGGAGCCAACAGACCCUUACCUCCUUCCGUAGUCUGAUCCUGGUGGUGAUGUAAUAUCUCCUACUAACCACAGGACGGGGCAAGAGCAUGAAGGCUCCCUGACAGUGCUGAACCCCCGAAUCCACCAACUUUGGAACUGCCAUACCUGCAAUAUCUUGUCCUGUGUGAUAGGCUUCCUGUUGUUUAAGCCACUUCAACGAUCUUUGGCAUUGACAGCACAUCAAUGGCACCUCCCAAAGAUCUCUAAGUGUAAGAACUGUCUGCAAAGUUCCCAAAGCAAAUGAAAACAACUGUACCCUGAUUUGAAUAAAUAGAUAUAUCCAUAAGGCACAUAGUUGCAUAAAGCAACUAAAUAAAAUCAAAUGAUUACAGACAUUAAAAGUAAAAGAUCAGGAAGCUCAUGAAGUCAAAAGGAGUUGCCUCGCAACUGAGGCAGGACUAUGAAAGAAUAUAAUCCAUUUUCUACUGUAUAACCAGUGAAGUUACAGGAUUCCAAACUUGGAAAAUGAAGCGAGAUGAGCCCAAUCAGAGACAGCAAGAGUGGCGCCCCCCAGCGCCUUCCGCGGGAACCACACCCAGCAUCUCAGGCGCAAGCACCAGAGCUCCGAGCCGUGUCUGUGAGCAUCAGGGCUGUGAGCAUCUGGGCUGUAUCUCCAUCAGUGGUAUGCAUCCGUUAGCAAGAUGUGUCCCACGGUAUCAGGAAAGCCUAAGAGAGGAAGGAGCUGUUGUUCUGCGGGGUAAAAGCUUUCUGCAGGCCAAGAUUUAUCAGCUCGUCUUCAACACGAACAAGCACCGAAGGGUUGGCUUGGCACCCUGAUGACAACCCUAACUUCUGGUUAUGGUAACAUUGUUUUGAACCACCCCGGACAACCAUUUUUGUCUUCUUCUGUUUUAUGGCUGUGUUGUGGUGGUUGUUGUUUUGUAUUAAAGGCAUGGGCUGAACAGUUCAAAACACAAUCAGCUGUCCCCCAAGAUUCUACUCGCCUUAUAAAUAUAGAAAUCACCAAGAGGGAGACCGCAAAGCACUUCCUCAGGAAGGGCCCAUUCUUCUU